UGAGGCGUGGUGUAAUCGGCAACACGUCGGGUUCUGGCCCCGAAGACUCUAGGUUCGAGUCCUAGCGCCUCAACCA
rnacentral:tRNA from 1 species